rnacentral:rRNA from 1 species
AUUGCUUAUUAAAGGGCUGCGCGUAAUUUGACCGUGCAAAGGUAGCAAAAUCAAUAGUCUUUUAAUUGGAGGCUUGAAUGAAAGGUUUGACGGAGGAAAAGCUGUCUUUUUGAUUAAGAUUGAAUUUAACUUUUGUGUGAAAAGGCAUUAAUAUUUAAGGGGGACGAUAAGACCCUAUAAAACUUUACAUGUCAGUAUUGUUUAAUGGAGCUGUUAAGUUAAUUAUUGGAUAAUUGGUUGUGUUUUGCUGGGGCGGCAGGAAUAUAAUAAUUAACUGUUUUAAGUAUGAAAUACUUAUAAGUAAAAAAUGGUCCUUUAUUGAGGAGGUGAGAGUAAGUUACUUUAGGGAUAACAGCAUAAUUUCCUUUGAGAGUUCGUAUCGAAAGGGCUAGUUGUGACCUCGAUGUUGAAUUAAAUUUUCCUUUAGGU